CGGAUCUUGGCGGCGGAAUAAGACAUGCAAGUCGAACGAAAGUCGUUAUAUUGAUUUUGAUUUUAAUUUGAGGAUUUAUCCGAUAAAAGAAUGAGAAUGAUAUAUAACAAUGGCUUUAGUGGCGGACUGGUGAGUAACGCGUAAGCAAUCUACCUAUUAGAGGGGAAUAACAGUGAGAAAUCAUUGCUAAUACCGCAUAUGCCAUAAUUAUCACAUGAUAAUAGUGGGAAAGGAGUAAUCCGCUAAUAGAUGAGCUUGCGUCUGAUUAGCUAGUUGGUAGGGUAAUGGCCUACCAAGGCGACGAUCAGUAGCCGGACUGAGAGGUUGAACGGCCACAUUGGGACUGAGAUACGGCCCAGACUCCUACGGGAGGCAGCAGUCGGGAAUUUUGCGCAAUGGAGGAAACUCUGACGCAGUGACGCCGCGUAUAGGAAGAAGGUUUUCGGAUUGUAAACUACUGUCGUUAGGGAAGAUACAAGACAGUACCUAAGGAGGAAGCUCCGGCUAACUACGUGCCAGCAGCCGCGGUAAUACGUAGGGAGCGAGCGUUAUCCGGAUUUAUUGGGUGUAAAGGGUGCGUAGACGGGAAAACAAGUUAGUUGUGAAAUCCCUCGGCUUAACCGAGGAACUGCAACUAAAACUAUUUUUCUUGAGUGCAGGAGAGGAAGGUGGAAUUCCUAGUGUAGCGGUGAAAUGCGUA
rnacentral:rRNA from 1 species